AGUAAGACAUUGGAUGACGUUUAACCCCAUCUCUUCGCCUCCCUACUCUUCCUGCCUCUAAGGAAUCUACUUCCAAAUUCAAAGCAACUAGCUGCUCAGACCAGGAAGAGGAGGAAGCUAAGGCAGAAAGGCCUGGCAGGGAAUCUUCCUGACCCAGGGACUGAACCUUCAUCUCCUGUGUUUCCUGCAUUGCGGGAGGAUUCUUUACCCGACGACUCUUACGAAGCAAACGUGACCAGCUUUCAAAGUUUUUGUUAGUAUAUCAGCCUAAGAAUUUAAGGAAUCACUUGUGCUAUCCAUUAAUUUUAUGAUUGAAUCUGAAUAAAAAAACAUGAAUUGA